GCAUGGUGGGCUGCAGGUCCCAAGCCCUGCCCCGCGGGGAGGCAGCUGAGGCCCGGUGAGAAUUUGAGAGCAGUGCCAGCACUGCUGGGGGACCCGGCACACCCUCUGCAGCUGCUGGCCCGGGUGCUAAGCCCCUCACUGCCCAGGACCUGCGGCGCUGGCCUGCUGCUCUGAGUGCGGGGCCUGCUGAGCCCAGCCCACCGGGAUCUCCUGCUGGCCCACAAGCACCCCAUGCAGCCCCGGUUCCUGCCUGCACCUCUCCCUCCACACCUCCCCGCAAGAAGAGGGAGUCAGCUCUGGCCUCGGCCAGCCCAGAGAGGGGCUCCCACAGUGCAGCGGCGGGCUGAAGGGCCAGAGUGGAGGCUGAGGCCGAGGAGGUGCCAAGAGCGAGCCAGGGCUGCGAGGGCUGUCAGCAUGCUGUCAUCUCUCAAUUGUGAGGCCUCCUCAGCGACAUGGAACUCUCACUCUGAUGGAAGCCAGCUGCUAUGCUGUGUGUUGCUCUAUGGAGAGACUCAGGUAGAAGGAAUUGAAGGAGGCUUUCGGCCAACAGUCAGCAAGGUACUGAGGCUUUCAGUCCAAGAGCCUAUAAGGAACUGAAUCCUACCAGCAACCAAGCAAGUGGCUUGAAAAUGGACCCUCUCUCAGCUGAGUCUUUGAAUAAGAUCACAGCUCUUAUUCAAUAUGACACCUUGAUUGUAGUCUUGUUAGAGAUCUUGAGCCAGUGGCACCCAGCUAAGCUGUACCUGUAUUCCUGACCCAUAAAACCCCACAGAUAAUAAAUGUUUGUCAUUUUAAACUGUGAA
rnacentral:lncRNA from 1 species